rnacentral:rRNA from 1 species
CAGUCGCCGCGGUAACACGUAGGUGGCAAGCGUUAUCCGGAAUUAUUGGGCGUAAAGCGCGCGUAGGUGGUUUUUUAAGUCUGAUGUGAAAGCCCACGGCUCAACCGUGGAGGGUCAUUGGAAACUGGAAAACUUGAGUGCAGGAGAGGAAAGUGGAAUUCCAUGUGUAGCGGUGAAAUGCGCAGAGAUAUGGAGGAACACCAAUGGCGAAGGCAGCUUCUUGGUCCAUUCCUGACGUUCAUACACGAAAGCGUGGGGAGCAAACAGGAUUAGAUACCCCCGUAGUCCCUGUCUCUUAUAA